UAGGGUCGAAGCACGACUAAGCUGUCAUAAGCUAAAGACGCACCUAAGACACUUUCAAAAUAACCCUAGCAUUAUCGAUCAAUUUAACUCCACGAAAGCCUGGGCACAAACUGGGAUUAGAUACCCCACUAUGCCUGGCCCUAAAUCUCGAUGCUUGCUAUACUAGAGCAUCCGCCUGAGAACUACGAGCACAAACGCUUAAAACUCUAAGGACUUGGCGGUGCCCCAAAUCCACCUAGAGGAGCCUGUUCUAUAAUCGAUAACCCACGAUAUACCCGACCACCCCUCGCCCAAAACAGCCUAUAUACCGCCGUCGCCAGCUCACCUUCCCUGAAAGUGCAGCAGUGAGCAUAAUAGCCAAAACCCGCUAACAAGACAGGUCAAGGUAUAGCCCAUGGGGUGGAAGAAAUGGGCUACAUUCUCUAAAGUAGAGAACUUCACGGAAGGGGGCAUGAAACAACCCCCGGAAGGCGGAUUUAGCAGUAAACUGGACAAUAGAGCCCUCUUUAAGUUGGCCCUGGGCACGUACAUACCGCCCGUCACCCUCC
rnacentral:rRNA from 1 species